CAAAGAGAAGCAAAGCCGCGAGGUAGAGCAAAUCUCAAAAAAACAAUCUCAGUUCAGACUGCAGGCUGCAACUCGCCUGCACGAAGUCGGAAUUGCUAGUAAUCGUAGGUCAGCAUACUACGGUGAAUACGUUCCCGGGCCUUGUACACACCGCCCGUCAAACCAUGAGAGUUGGCAACACCCGAAGUCGGUAGUCUAACCGCAAGGAGGACGCCGCGAACGGUGGGGUUGAUGAUUAGGGUUAAGUCGUAACAAGGUACC
rnacentral:rRNA from 1 species